rfam:Hordeum vulgare subsp. vulgare, WGS project CAJW01000000 data, contig: morex_contig_137136
CUUAUACUUCCUCCAUCCCAAAAUUCUUGUCUUACGUUUGUCUAUAUAUGAAUGUAUCUAGUCACAUUUUAGUAUUUGGAUACAUUCAUUUUUAGACAAACCUAAGACAAGAAUUUUGGGACGGAUGGAGUAUUUU